UCUUAUCAAAGCCGUCAAGCUGUAAAAGUUUUCCCAAGCGUAGGUAACCUCUAGCAUUUCUUGCAUUCAAAUGAAUCAUCCGUUUAGCAUCAAGUUCUGCUUGUGAGUAUUGACCUGACUUUUCGUAAACUUGAGCCCUUAGUUCAAACAAGUCAAUCGUAGGAUUGGGCUCCUGUUCGAUGGUUUUAGUAAUGAAUGUCAAUGCAUCUUCAAACUUCCUUUU